rnacentral:rRNA from 1 species
CCUACGGGAGGCAGCAGUGGGGAAUAUUGCGCAAUGGGCGAAAGCCUGACGCAGCGACGCCGCGUGAGGGAUGAAGGUCUUCGGAUCGUAAACCUCUGUCAGCAGGGAAGAACGGUCACUGUGCUAAUCAUCAGUGAAUUGACGGUACCUGCAAAGGAAGCACCGGCUAACUCCGUGCCAGCAGCCGCGGUAAUACGGAGGGUGCGAGCGUUAAUCGGAAUUACUGGGCGUAAAGCGCUCGUAGGCGGUAUGUCAAGUCAAGGGUGAAAUCCCCGCGCUCAACGUGGGAACUGCCUUUGAAACUGGCAGACUGGAGUGUGUGAGAGGAUAGUGGAAUUCGAGGUGUAGGAGUGAAAUCCGUAGAUAUCUGGAGGAACAUCAGUGGCGAAGGCGACUAUCUGGCACAUAACUGACGCUGAGGAGCGAAAGCGUGGGUAGCAAACAGGAUUAGAUACCCUGGUAGUC